UGCCAGACUCCUACGGGAGGCAGCAGUGGGGAAUAUUGCACAAUGGGGGAAACCCUGACGCAGCAACGCCGCGUGAGUGAAGAAGUCAUUCGUGAUGUAAAGCUCUAUCAGCAGGGAAGAAAAUGACGGUACCUGAGUAAGAAGCCCCGGCUAACUACGUGCCAGCAGCCGCGGUAAUACGUAGGGGGCAAGCGUUAUCCGGAUUUACUGGGUGUAAAGGGGGCGCAGACGGCGAUGCAAGCCAGGAGUGAAAGCCCGGGGCCCAACCCCGGGACUGCUCUUGGAACUGCGUGGCUGGAGUGCAGGAGGGGCAGGCGGAAUUCCUGGUGUAGCGGUGAAAUGCGUAGAUAUCAGGAGGAACACCGGUGGCGAAGGCGGCCUGCUGGACUGCAACUGACGUUGAGGCCCGAAAGCGUGGGGAGCGAACAGGAUUAGAUACCCGUGUA
rnacentral:rRNA from 1 species